rnacentral:piRNA from 1 species
UCUGACCUGCAGGUAUACAUGCAG